AUUGAACGCUGGCGGCAUGCUUUACACAUGCAAGUCGAACGGUAACAGGCCGCAAGGUGCUGACGAGUGGCGAACGGGUGAGUAAUGCAUCGGAACGUGCCCAGUCGUGGGGGAUAACUACUCGAAAGAGUAGCUAAUACCGCAUACGAUCUAUGGAUGAAAGCGGGGGACCGUAAGGCAUCGCGCGAUUGGAGCGGCCGAUGUCAGAUUAGGUAGUUGGUGGGGUAAAGGCUCACCAAGCCAACGAUCUGUAGCUGGUCUGAGAGGACAACCAGCCACACUGGGACUGAGACACGGCCCAGACUCCUACGGGAGGCAGCAGUGGGGAAUUUUGGACAAUGGGCGCAAGCCUGAUCCAGCAAUGCCGCGUGCAGGAAGAAGGCCUUCGGGUUGUAAACUGCUUUUGUACGGAACGAAACGGCUCUGGUUAAUACCCGGGGCUAAUGACGGUACCGUAAGAAUAAGCACCGGCUAACUACGUG
rnacentral:rRNA from 1 species